UGGGGAAUAUUGCACAAUGGGGGAAACCCUGAUGCAGCGACGCCGCGUGAGCGAAGAAGGUUUUCGAAUCGUAAAGCUCUGUCCUAUGAGAAGAUAAUGACGGUAUCAUAGGAGGAAGCCCCGGCUAAAUACGUGCCAGCAGCCGCGGUAAUACGUAUGGGGCGAGCGUUGUCCGGAAUUAUUGGGCGUAAAGGGUACGUAGGCGGUCUAUUAAGUCAGGUGUGAAAGCGUGAGGCUUAACCUCAUUAAGCACUUGAAACUGAUAGACUUGAGUGAAGGAGAGGAAAGUGGAAUUCCUAGUGUAGCGGUGAAAUGCGUAGAUAUUAGGAGGGAUACCGGUGGCGAAGGCGACUUUCUGGACUUUUACUGACGCUCAGGUACGAAAGCGUGGGGAGCAAACAGG
rnacentral:rRNA from 1 species